rnacentral:lncRNA from 1 species
AUGGGUCUAGGCUAGUUCUUUACUACAUUACUUUUCUGAGGAUCUACAUGAAUACCAGCCCCUAAAAAAAUAUGCCUCAAGAAGGUAACAGAUUCCAACCAAAACUCACAUUAUCCAAACUCACAUAUAAUUGGCGGUCCUUGAGGGUCUGCAGCACUAUUCUCAAAUACUCUGUAUGUUCCUCCUCACUCCUAGAAUUCUCCAGGAUGUCAUCUAUAAUGACAAUGACAAA